UACGAAGGGGGCGAGCGUUGUUCGGAUUUACUGGGCGUAAAGGGCGCGCAGGCGGCUCAUUUUGUCAGGCGUGAAAGCCCCGGGCUUAACCUGGGAACUGCGUUUGAGACGGAUGGGCUAGAGUUCGGGAGAGGAGAGUGGAAUUCCCAGUGUAGAGGUGAAAUGCGUAGAGAUCGGGAGGAACACCAGUGGCGAAGGCGGCCAUCUGGAUCAACACUGACGCUGAGGCACGAAAGCGUGGGGAGCAAACAGG
rnacentral:rRNA from 1 species